UCUCUUUCUAUUUCCUCCUUUAGGCCUCUUUGAUUUUUUCAAACCCUAGAAGAACACCAAGAGCAUCAAUGAACGAAGUAGAGCUUCUGUUUGCAUCCACUUACUAGUACUACUUAGGGAAUGGACGAAUCUAAUGGACUACCACCUUCAUGAGCCCCUCUUAACCUCUUUGGUGGCAUGAAGUUGUUGGACAAACCCAACCCUUUCUCUUGGUCUCUCUUGCCUCUGUUUCUCCGGAAAUUAAGCUGGAUCAAGUUCGUAAUCAACUUUAGGUUUGGUUUUCAAGUCAACUUCAAGAAAACCAUUAAUUUUUUUUAUCUUGUAGAUUUUCCAUUUGGGCAGUGCUAUGUGCAUUUAAAUAUAUUGGUUAGCACAUAAUCUCUUUGUUGCAAAUUUUGUUUGGAAUCUUGUACAUUAAAAAUUUGAGAAUCAUCUUGAUCAUUUAUUGAAGGACUGAUAUAUAUAUAUAUAUGUAUAUAUAUUUACGCAAGUGAUGAUCUGUACUAUGUUUUUGCUAGUUAUCUAGAUUUUAUUUAUGUCAUUAUUAACUUGUAGAGUUUCAAGGAAAGUCUUGUUUCUUGUGGA